AGAAACAAAAGGGGAAGAUUUUCUCUUAAGGUUUUUCAUAGAAAAAUCAUAAUCUACGAAGAUCCAACGGUCCGAUUUUCGAUCCGUCUUCGGAAACAUGAUCAUUGCACUCGAAUAUAUGUUUUCACCGAUCAUUUUCAGUGAUACAUUGCAAGGUGAUGUCUAGGAGACCUAGUGCUUAAUAUCCGUUCAGCCAGAGAUUUGGGGCUAAAACGGUUGUUGGAUUUGUUGGCGGAGGAGCAACCGGA